GAUCCUGGCUCAGGAUGAACGCUAGCUACAGGCUUAACACAUGCAAGUCGGGGGGGCAGCAUGGUCUUAGCUUGCUAAGACCGAUGGCGACCGGCGCACGGGUGAGUAACGCGUAUCCAACCUGCCUUACACUCUUGGACAGCCUUCUGAAAGGGAGAUUAAUACAAGAUGUUAUCAUGAGUAAGCAUUUUCGCAUGAUUAAAGGUUUACCGGUGUAAGAUGGGGAUGCGUUCCA
rnacentral:rRNA from 1 species